GACGAACGCUGGCGGCGUGCUUAACACAUGCAAGUCGAACGGAAAGGCCCUUCGGGGUACUCGAGUGGCGAACGGGUGAGUAACACGUGGGUGAUCUGCCCUGCACUUUGGGAUAAGCCUGGGAAACUGGGUCUAAUACCGAAUAGGACCACGCGCUUCAUGGUGUGUGGUGGAAAGCUUUUGCGGUGUGGGAUGGGCCCGCGGCCUAUCAGCUUGUUGGUGGGGUAAUGGCCUACCAAGGCGACGACGGGUAGCCGGCCUGAGAGGGUGACCGGCCACACUGGGACUGAGAUACGGCCCAGACCCCUAGGGGGGGCAGCAGGGGGGAAUUUUGCACAAUGGGCGCAAGCCUGAUGCAGGGACCCCGGGGGGGGGAUGACGGCCUUCGGGUUGUAAACCUCUUUCAAUAGGGACGAAGCGCAAGUGACGGUACCUAUAGAAGAAGCCCCGGCCAACUACGU
rnacentral:rRNA from 1 species